GCCCGGAAAGGGUGGAGCACAACGUCGAAAGCAGCCGUUGGGAGCCCAGGAGGCGGGGCGCCUGUGGGAGCCGUGGAGGGAACUUUCCCAGUCCCCGAGGCGGAUCCGGUGUUGCAUCCUUGGAGCGAGCUGAGAGCUCGAGUACAGAACCUGCUAAGGCCAUCAAACCUAUUGAUCGGAAGUCAGUCCAUCAGAUUUGCUCUGGGCCGGUGGUACCGAGUCUAAGCACUGCGGUGAAGGAGUUAGUAGAAAACAGUCUGGAUGCUGGUGCCACUAAUAUUGAUCUAAAGCUUAAGGACUAUGGAGUGGAUCUCAUUGAAGUUUCAGGCAAUGGAUGUGGGGUAGAAGAAGAAAACUUCGAAGGCUUAACUCUGAAACAUCACACAUCUAAGAUUCAAGAGUUUGCCGACCUACCUCAGGUUGAAACUUUUGGCUUUCGGGGGGAAGCUCUGAGCUCACUUUGUGCACUGAGUGAUGUCACCAUUUCUACCUGCCAUGUAUCGGCGAAGGUUGGGACUCGACUGGUGUUUGAUCACUAUGGGAAAAUCAUCCAGAAAACCCCCUACCCCCACCCCAGAGGGAUGACAGUCAGUGUGAAGCAGUUAUUUUCUACGCUACCUGUGCACCAUAAAGAAUUUCAAAGGAAUAUUAAGAAGUGAGUGAGCGCUCAUGGGAUCUGGUUGUUUAGAAGCAUGCACCACCUCCCGCUUCACUCUCUCUGUCUCUCCUGCUCCACCAUGGCCAGAAACGUGCCUGCUUCCCCUUCGCCUUCUGCCGUGAUUGUCAGUUUCCUGAGGCCUCCCCAGCCAUGCUUCCUGUACAGCCUGCAGAACUGACUCCUAGAAGUACCCCACCCCACCCCUGCUCCUUGGAGGACAACGUGAUCACUGUAUUCAGCUCUGUCAAGAAUGGUCCAGGUUCUUCUAGAUGAUCUGCACAAAUGGCUCCUCUCCUCCUUCCUGAUGUCUGCCAUUAGCACUGGAAUAAAGUUCCUGCUGAAAAUCCACAUCU
rnacentral:lncRNA from 1 species